rnacentral:rRNA from 1 species
GGUUAAGCGACUAAGCGUACANNNNNNNNNNNNNNNNNNNCAGAGGCGAUGAAGGACGUGCUAAUCUGCGAUAAGCGUCGGUAAGGUGAUAUGAACCGUUAUAACCGGCGAUUUCCGAAUGGGGAAACCCAGUGUGUUUCGACACACUAUCAUUAACUGAAUCCAUAGGUUAAUGAGGCGAACCGGGGGAACUGAAACAUCUAAGUACCCCGAGGAAAAGAAAUCAACCGAGAUUCCCCCAGUAGCGGCGAGCGAACGGGGAGCAGCCCAGAGCCUGAAUCAGUGUGUGUGUUAGUGGAAGCGUCUGGAAAGGCGCGCGAUACAGGGUGACAGCCCCGUACACAAAAAUGCACAUGCUGUGAGCUCGAUGAGUAGGGCGGGACACGUGGUAUCCUGUCUGAAUAUGGGGGGACCAUCCUCCAAGGCUAAAUACUCCUGACUGACCGAUAGUGAACCAGUACCGUGAGGGAAAGGCGAAAAGAACCCCGGCGAGGGGAGUGAAAAAGAACCUGAAACCGUGUACGUACAAGCAGUGGGAGCACGCUUAGGCGUGUGACUGCGUACCUUUUGUAUAAUGGGUCAGCGACUUAUAUUCUGUAGCAAGGUUAACCGAAUAGGGGAGCCGAAGGGAAACCGAGUCUUAACUGGGCGUUAAGUUGCAGGGUAUAGACCCGAAACCCGGUGAUCUAGCCAUGGGCAGGUUGAAGGUUGGGUAACACUAACUGGAGGACCGAACCGACUAAUGUUGAAAAAUUAGCGGAUGACUUGUGGCUGGGGGUGAAAGGCCAAUCAAACCGGGAGAUAGCUGGUUCUCCCCGAAAGCUAUUUAGGUAGCGCCUCGUGAAUUCAUCUCCGGGGGUAGAGCACUGUUUCGGCAAGGGGGUCAUCCCGACUUACCAACCCGAUGCAAACUGCGAAUACCGGAGAAUGUUAUCACGGGAGACACACGGCGGGUGCUAACGUCCGUCGUGAAGAGGGAAACAACCCAGACCGCCAGCUAAGGUCCCAAAGUCAUGGUUAAGUGGGAAACGAUGUGGGAAGGCCCAGACAGCCAGGAUGUUGGCUUAGAAGCAGCCAUCAUUUAAAGAAAGCGUAAUAGCUCACUGGUCGAGUCGGCCUGCGCGGAAGAUGUAACGGGGCUAAACCAUGCACCGAAGCUGCGGCAGCGACGCUUAUGCGUUGUUGGGUAGGGGAGCGUUCUGUAAGCCUGUGAAGGUGUGCUGUGAGGCAUGCUGGAGGUAUCAGAAGUGCGAAUGCUGACAUAAGUAACGAUAAAGCGGGUGAAAAGCCCGCUCGCCGGAAGACCAAGGGUUCCUGUCCAACGUUAAUCGGGGCAGGGUGAGUCGACCCCUAAGGCGAGGCCGAAAGGCGUAGUCGAUGGGAAACAGGUUAAUAUUCCUGUACUUGGUGUUACUGCGAAGGGGGGACGGAGAAGGCUAUGUUGGCCGGGCGACGGUUGUCCCGGUUUAAGCGUGUAGGCUGGUUUUCCAGGCAAAUCCGGAAAAUCAAGGCUGAGGCGUGAUGACGAGGCACUACGGUGCUGAAGCAACAAAUGCCCUGCUUCCAGGAAAAGCCUCUAAGCAUCAGGUAACAUCAAAUCGUACCCCAAACCGACACAGGUGGUCAGGUAGAGAAUACCAAGGCGCUUGAGAGAACUCGGGUGAAGGAACUAGGCAAAAUGGUGCCGUAACUUCGGGAGAAGGCACGCUGAUAUGUAGGUGAAGUCCCUCGCGGAUGGAGCUGAAAUCAGUCGAAGAUACCAGCUGGCUGCAACUGUUUAUUAAAAACACAGCACUGUGCAAACACGAAAGUGGACGUAUACGGUGUGACGCCUGCCCGGUGCCGGAAGGUUAAUUGAUGGGGUUAGCCGCAAGGCGAAGCUCUUGAUCGAAGCCCCGGUAAACGGCGGCCGUAACUAUAACGGUCCUAAGGUAGCGAAAUUCCUUGUCGGGUAAGUUCCGACCUGCACGAAUGGCGUAAUGAUGGCCAGGCUGUCUCCACCCGAGACUCAGUGAAAUUGAACUCGCUGUGAAGAUGCAGUGUACCCGCGGCAAGACGGAAAGACCCCGUGAACCUUUACUAUAGCUUGACACUGAACAUUGAGCCUUGAUGUGUAGGAUAGGUGGGAGGCUUAGAAGUGUGGACGCCAGUCUGCAUGGAGCCGACCUUGAAAUACCACCCUUUAAUGUUUGAUGUUCUAACGUUGACCCGUAAUCCGGGUUGCGGACAGUGUCUGGUGGGUAGUUUGACUGGGGCGGUCUCCUCCUAAAGAGUAACGGAGGAGCACGAAGGUUGGCUAAUCCUGGUCGGACAUCAGGAGGUUAGUGCAAUGGCAUAAGCCAGCUUGACUGCGAGCGUGACGGCGCGAGCAGGUGCGAAAGCAGGUCAUAGUGAUCCGGUGGUUCUGAAUGGAAGGGCCAUCGCUCAACGGAUAAAAGGUACUCCGGGGAUAACAGGCUGAUACCGCCCAAGAGUUCAUAUCGACGGCGGUGUUUGGCACCUCGAUGUCGGCUCAUCACAUCCUGGGGCUGAAGUAGGUCCCAAGGGUAUGGCUGUUCGCCAUUUAAAGUGGUACGCGAGCUGGGUUUAGAACGUCGUGAGACAGUUCGGUCCCUAUCUGCCGUGGGCGCUGGAGAACUGAGGGGGGCUGCUCCUAGUACGAGAGGACCGGAGUGGACGCAUCACUGGUGUUCGGGUUGUCAUGCCAAUGGCACUGCCCGGUAGCUAAAUGCGGAAGAGAUAAGUGCUGAAAGCAUCUAAGCACGAAACUUGCCCCGAGAUGAGUUCUCCCUGACUCCUUGAGAGUCCUGAAGGAACGUUGAAGACGACGACGUUGAUAGGCCGGGUGUGUAAGCGCAGCGAUGCGUUGAGCUAACCGGUACUAAUGAACCGUGAGGCUUAACCUU